rnacentral:rRNA from 1 species
GCUUGCUUCCUCUUGAGAGCGGCGGACGGGUGAGUAAUGCCUAGGAAUCUGCCUGGUAGUGGGGGAUAACGUUCGGAAACGGACGCUAAUACCGCAUACGUCCUACGGGAGAAAGCAGGGGACCUUCGGGCCUUGCGCUAUCAGAUGAGCCUAGGUCGGAUUAGCUAGUUGGUGAGGUAAUGGCUCACCAAGGCGACGAUCCGUAACUGGUCUGAGAGGAUGAUCAGUCACACUGGAACUGAGACACGGUCCAGACUCCUACGGGAGGCAGCAGUGGGGAAUAUUGGACAAUGGGCGAAAGCCUGAUCCAGCCAUGCCGCGUGUGUGAAGAAGGUCUUCGGAUUGUAAAGCACUUUAAGUUGGGAGGAAGGGUUGUAGAUUAAUACUCUGCAAUUUUGACGUUACCGACAGAAUAAGCACCGGCUAACUCUGUGCCAGCAGCCGCGGUAAUACAGAGGGUGCAAGCGUUAAUCGGAAUUACUGGGCGUAAAGCGCGCGUAGGUGGUUUGUUAAGUUGGAUGUGAAAUCCCCGGGCUCAACCUGGGAACUGCAUUCAAAACUGACUGACUAGAGUAUGGUAGAGGGUGGUGGAAUUUCCUGUGUAGCGGUGAAAUGCGUAGAUAUAGGAAGGAACACCAGUGGCGAAGGCGACCACCUGGACUAAUACUGACACUGAGGUGCGAAAGCGUGGGGAGCAAACAGGAUUAGAUACCCUGGUAGUCCACGCCGUAAACGAUGUCAACUAGCCGUUGGAAGCCUUGAGCUUUUAGUGGCGCAGCUAACGCAUUAAGUUGACCGCCUGGGGAGUACGGCCGCAAGGUUAAAACUCAAAUGAAUUGACGGGGGCCCGCACAAGCGGUG